GGGAUGUCUAUGCAGACUGAUUCAGCCUAGCCAGAUUAGACUAACCUGCAAAGAUUGAAUCAAAUCAGGCUUAGGAUUUUUGAAUGUCCGUCCCUAGCCUGGGAGAUUUUAUAUACUUUGUCUCUUCCUCUC